rnacentral:rRNA from 1 species
UUAUUUAAUGGCCGCGGUAUUUUGACCGUGCAAAGGUAGCAUAAUCAUUAGUUUAUUAAUUGUGAACUGGAAUGAAUGGUUAGACGAAAUAUUAACUGUCUCAUAUUUAUUAUUAUAAUUUAAGAUUUGAGUUAAAACGCUUAAAUUUUUUUAGAGGACGAGAAGACCCUAUAGAUCUUAAUUAUUUAAUUUAUAUUUAUUAUUGGGUUAUUGUAUUUUUUAUAUAUUAAAUUUUUUGGUUGGGGUGACAUUAAGAUAUAAUAAACUCUUAUUAAUUUGAUUCAAUUAUUUUUGUAUUUUUGACCUUAUAUUAUUGUUAAAAGAUUAAGAUACCUUAGGGAUAACAGCGUAAUUCUUUUUGAGAGUUCUUAUCGACAAAGGAGAUUGCGACCUCGAUGUUGGAUUAAGAUUAAAUUUAGGUGUAGAAACUUAAAUGAUAAGUCUGUUCGACUUUUAAAUUCUUACAUGAUCUGAGUUC